UCCCGCCGGCUUUACUGCCUGGAGGCCGGCGGGACUGGCAAGCAAAUCAGCGUACACUGCAGGAUGUUUACUGGAACCUACUGGAGAGCUGUGACUGUGAAAUCAGGUCCAGUUUUUCAUCUGCUAGUUUGGGCUAGCUAGGAUCUCAUUAGCCACUGCUCCAGAAGAAGGCAAAAACUACAGACACCAGAGUGAAGCAGUGUGAAGUAACAUUCACUUUAGUCACCAUAUUAAGCUGGCUGUCUGUAUGAUCUCUUCCACCAGUGCUUCAACAUAAUGACAGAGUGCACCAAAGACACAGAAGAAGAAUACACAACCAGUAUGGCUAAGGUUAAGAAGCAGAAAAUACACAUAAAUAUAGUGGUCUGCAAACCUCAUGUCUUGUUCUCCUUGCUGUGCGCUGCAAUGCCUUGGUAACGUAAAACUUGAUAAGUAUUCUAGUAGUUGGAAAAGUCACUGUAGCUCCAAGUAGUCUCUAAAGAUUUGGCCUGGUGUAGAGAAAUCUGUUCCACACAAGGGGUUUCUGUCCUGCUGCUAAGAAGUGUGCAAACACCCCAGAGCCUGGCACAACAAAAGCACUUCAUUUGGCAGUGUCAGGAUUCCAGAGCCCUCUGUACAUUCAUUGGUCUGGAACAACGGACUGAAUUCAGAACUGAUGAGUCAAUCCUCUCUUCAUUCGCCCACAGCCAAAUUGUCAUUUGUUGGCCUCUUAAAAAAAAAAAAAAA